GGAAAACAAGCCUUGGAGAGGAAGAGCAGUUGGGCAGGUGGCCUUAGAAGCAGAGACAGACGUCCCUGUUGAUACCACUGUUGAUGGAGAAGCACUCGGCUCUCCUCCAUCAGGGGAAACCAAACCUGCCACCCCACCUGGGAUGUGGCCUCCCCAGGGAAAGAGUAGAGAGGCUGGAGCUCUGGCAGAACAGGCCUGGCAAGGGGGCUGGAGGCCAAGGCUGGUGUUGGGGCUCAGAUCAAAGCCAUCAUGCUGCAUGGAGCCCAAUCAGCUGCCAACACUCUUGGUGACACAGAGCCCUCACGCCUCUGGUGGAAGAAGCCAGGGCUGGAUGAAGCUGUGGCGUGCAGCUUCUGCACAGUCUCCGUGGAAUCUCUCCUACUCUCCCGUGAGCCUUUGGAGGCCUUGCAGGAGCUCAGCCUUUCAGCAGAAGGACUGGGUUCAACCGCCCCUGCAGGAGCAGCUCCUUGGCCUCCCAGGCACCAGUGGUUGGGGGCUGCAUCCUCUGUGAGCCUCAGGUCAAGCCCAUACAGUGCCCUAGACUCCUCCCUGCUCUGACCCUGGGCCCAGGAGAAAGGCCGAGCACCUGGCCCUCUGGAGACAAGGACAUGGCCAUUCCUCAGAGGUCCUUCCCCUGACAAGCUGGGCCCCCUGUUGUGGGGCGCACCACUGGACAUGGUAGGGGAGUGGUGGCGGCCUUGCCCGAAGGCAGGCUGCGGGAGGGGCGGGGCUGGCUCACCACAGUUGGUUGAUUCAAGUGAGGCCUGGGGUCCUGCUCUCCUUCCAGCUUCCAUCUCAGGAUGGCUCUCAGCCCCCCACAUUGAAGACCAAGAAGGUGAGGGGCAAACCAAGGGCCCUGCCUAUGGAAGCUUCCUGUGAUGGGCUGCAGGUAGCAGGGGCUGGAGAGGGCUGUGGUUGGGGCCACACCAGGCUCCCCCAACCUGAGCAUCCUGGAAGGUGACAGCUCACCCUUGGCAGUGGCAACCCCCAGGCCAGCAGCCCCAUCUGAGGACAGUUGUCUUCAGUGCCAUUGGCUGUGGCAGCACAGAUGGGGGGUGUGAAGACCUGAGGCCCUGCGACUGUAGCACCUACAGCCACUGGAGCCAGCUCUGCACAACUCAGACCUGGGUGGCGAGGACAUAGCUUUGCAGGUGGGCAGCCACAUCCCAGGGGGAGCCUGCAGGCCAGUGGCAGGGUGGGGGCAGGCAGAGCAGGGUCUCCCCACUGUUGCCGCUGGGCUCCUGCGGCUUGUGGAGAAAGAUGGGUGGGCCCACACAUAUUGCUGCUCCCUGGAUCUGAGCCUCGGUUUCCCUACCUGUGAAACGGGUACCCAUGGCAGCUCAGAAGUGUCUGGCAGUGGGGCUGCUGGGGCACAGUCAUGGGGGACCCGAGUCCUGCUCUCCAUGUGCUCGCUUCCCUCAGUGGUCCCUGAUGCCAGCAGAACUUUCUCCCAAAAAGAGAAGGGCGUUCCUGUGAGUUCUUGUGUGGGGGGUGGGUCACAGAGCCUCUCCAAGUGCAGGGCAGGGUGAAGGGAGGCUGAGGGGUGGUUGAAUGGCCCUGGGAAGAGCUCUCUUGGGCUCCUCGUGUCUGGGUGGCCUGGGGAGCAUGCUUUUGGGCAGGCGGCUGGCAGGGCUGGUGGCUGAGCCACUGUGGCUCAGGAUCCCCAGCCCAGGCCUGAAUAGGGUAGGCAGGGAGAGGGGAGGGUGAGUGCAUGGUGCAGGACAGUGUGUCUCCUGGACAGAAACAGCCCUGGUCACUCACGGCCAUGGCAUAGCCAUGGCUACAGGAAAGUGCUGCUGUGUGUUGCAGCCCCUGGGGCCGGCUCCCAAUGGACACCCAGCAGCAUCUCCCCCACUGUGCUGAGGGGAGUUGUGCCAGUGGGGUGCUGGCAGCAGUCCUGGGAACUGGGGGAAGAGCCUUGGCAAGCCCAUCCCUCCUCGGGCAUCAGGGAUGGGCUCACGUGACCAAUUUCUCCCAUGGAAGAUGUUUGGGGUGUGCCCAGAAAAUGGGGAGGGCCCUGUGGGGCAGGAUUGUAUUAUUAAAUCCAGAAAGUCUGGGGUUCCAUUUUUAGCACAAGGCAGGCAGCCCACGUGCCCCAGCCCAGUGGCCAGCCUGUGUGGGAGAGGGGAGUGGGGGCCAGAGGGAGUGAGGCUUCUGUUACUGCAGCCAGCCAGGGUGGCCAGUGUGGACUGGACAGCGGGCACUGCACCAGGGGCACUGGUACUGACCUUGGGCCAUGCACCUGAUGCCUGUGAGAGUGAUCUCUAGGAACCACUGCACAAGGGGGCAGAUGAGGGAACCCUGACAUGGGACAGCUGAGGGUUACGCCAACACGGGGGGGAAAGCUGUGUCCAGGCUCCACCGGACUCCGCCGAGGACAGAGCACUGCCCUGACUCUAGGGUGCGGGGUCACUGAGGGUUAGGACAGUCUGGAGUUGGGAGAGGGCCAUGCUGCAGCUGGGGCACAUCCCACCUGCACCUCUCUAGAUCUUGGAGAUGGGACCCCCACCCACAUGCUCCCCAGGUGGGUCCCAUCCUGGGGGGUGCAGGAGGGAGCUCCAUGUGCCCCUGCUGAUCUGCCCAUCUGAGCCUCAGGGGUCCUGGGCACUGAGAGCUGGGCUGGGCUCAGCGGGGGUAUGCAUUGACAUUGGGGACAGAGAGGGGAUGCUGAAGCGGGUGCUGUCUGGGUGGGGCCUGCCUGAUCGACCCAGCAGGUGCACCCAGCAGCCGGAGGUGCUUCUAGCAGAGUGAACGCCCUGUCCUUAGGGGCAUGUGAGCUGAGGCUGGGGGCCUGGAGCUGCAGGGGGAGGAAUUGGGGAGAGCAGAGGUCCCAAAGAUGUCCCAAGGCCCCAAGACCCUGGUGAAGGAAUGGAGGAGCCAGCAUUGGUCGGCGAGAGGGGAGUGGGAGUUGGAUGGCCUGGCUCUGGGCUGGACACACGGUUUGCAGCCACAGCUGAGCUGUGCUGUGGAGCCCAGUUCCCACCUGGGCAUGUCCUGUCCUCUGAGGCUUCCGGGAGCCGGACGGCCACCGCGGUGCAGGCGCGCACUCAAGGGCUUUCGAGGCUCACUCUGUCGGAGAGGUCAGAGACUGAGUGUCGCUGCUGAAGGCUGUGGUGGACCGGGCUGGAUCGCGGAUUCUAGGUUAGAUCGCAGAUUUGGGAUCGCGGAUUGGGGAUUGGAUUGGGGAUUUGGGGUUGGAUCAGGGAUGUGGGGGCUGGAUAGGGGAUUUGAGGAUUGGAUCGGGGAUUUGGGGUUGGAUCCUGGAUUUGGGGCCGGGUCGGCGGUGGGGGGCAGUGAAAAGGUGACAGAGAGCAGCCCCUGCUCAGGAGCCGGUGGUUGGGGGUCUGAGAAGUCACCACCACCAAGAAGUUCUUCGGCUUCGGGAGCCGCGGGGGCGAGAUGGCCCGGGCUCCAUAGACCACGUCUGCACGGUUCCGGGUACCGAAUCCGGGACGCGGAACAGCGGAAAAUCCAAGGGCGGCUGUCAAGGACCGGAGGUGGAGCGCGGCCUGGAGCGCAGGAGCCGGAGACCUGGAGGCCCGGGACAAGCAGCACAGAACUGCUCUACAUUUGGCCUGUGCCAGCGGCCAUGUGGAAGUGGUCACUCUCCUGGUGAACAGACAAUGCCAAAUUGACAUCUGUGACAAAGAAAAGAGUGUGCCUUUGAUACAGGCACAGGCUGUGCAUUGCCAAGAAGAGGCUUGUGCCAUUAUUCUGCUGGAACGUGGCGCCAAUCCAAACCUUAAGGAUGUCUACAGCAACACUGCUCUCCAGUAUGCUGUGUAUAGUGAGAGCACAUCACUGGCAAAAAAACUGCUUUCCCAUGAUGCAAAUACUGAAGCACUGGACAAGGAUCUCACUCUGUCACUCAGGCUGGAAUAAAGUGGCACAACUGUG
rnacentral:lncRNA from 1 species